rnacentral:rRNA from 1 species
CCUACGGGGGGCAGCAGUGAGGAAUAUUGGUCAAUGGCCGAGAGGCUGAACCAGCCAAGUCGCGUGCGGGAAGAAUGUCCUAUGGAUUGUAAACCUCUUUUGUCAGGGAGCAAAGUCACCCACGUGUGGGUGUUGGAGAGUACCUGAAGAAAAAGCAUCGGCUAAAUCCGUGCCAGCAGCCGCGGUAAUACGGAGGAUGCGGGCGUUAUCCGGAUUUAUUGGGUUUAAAGGGUGCGUAGGCGGGUUAUCAAGUCAGCGGUAAAAUCGUGGAGCUCAACUCCAUCCAGCCGGGGAAACUGGUGAGCUUGAGUGGGCGGGAAGCAGGCGGAAUGCGUGGUGUAGCGGUGAAAUGCAUAGAUAUGACGCAGAACUCCGAUUGCGAAGGCAGCAUACCGGCGCCGGACUGACGCUGAAGCACGAAAGCGUGGGUAUCGAACAGGAUUAGAUACCCUAGUAGUC